rnacentral:rRNA from 1 species
UGGGGAAUAUUGCACAAUGGGCGAAAGCCUGAUGCAGCAACGCCGCGUGAGUGAUGAAGGUCUUCGGAUUGUAAAGCUCUGUCUUUUGGGACGAUAAUGACGGUACCAAAGGAGGAAGCCACGGCUAACUACGUGCCAGCAGCCGCGGUAAUACGUAGGUGGCGAGCGUUGUCCGGAUUUACUGGGCGUAAAGGGUGCGUAGGCGGAUGUUUAAGUGAGAUGUGAAAUACCCGGGCUUAACUUGGGUGCUGCAUUUCAAACUGGAUAUCUAGAGUGCAGGAGAGGAGAAUGGAAUUCCUAGUGUAGCGGUGAAAUGCGUAGAGAUUAGGAAGAACACCAGUGGCGAAGGCGAUUCUCUGGACUGUAACUGACGCUGAGGCACGAAAGCGUGGGUAGCAAACAGGAUUAGAUACCCUGGUAGUCCACGCCGUAAACGAUGAGUACUAGGUGUAGGAGGUAUCGACCCCUUCUGUGCCGCAGUAAAACACAUUAAGUACUCCGCCUGGGAAGUA